rnacentral:rRNA from 1 species
GACGAACGCUGGCGGCGUGCUUAACACAUGCAAGUCGAACGGAAAGGCCCUUCGGGGUACUCGAGUGGCGAACGGGUGAGUAACACGUGGGUGAUCUGCCCUGCACUUUGGGAUAAGCCUGGGAAACUGGGUCUAAUACCGAAUAGGACCACGCGCUUCAGGGUGUGUGGGGGAAAGCUUUUGCGGUGUGGGAUGGGCCCGCGGCCUAUCAGCUUGUUGGUGGGGUAAUGGCCUACCAAGGCGACGACGGGUAGCCGGCCUGAGAGGGUGACCGGCCACACUGGGACUGAGAUACGGCCCAGACUCCUACGGGAGGCAGCAGUGGGGAAUAUUGCACAAUGGGCGCAAGCCUGAUGCAGCGACGCCGCGUGAGGGAUGACGGCCUUCGGGUUGUAAACCGCUUUCAAUAGGGACGAAGCGCAAGUGACGGUACCUAUAGAAGAAGCACCGGCCAACUACGUG